rnacentral:rRNA from 1 species
AUUGAACGCUGGCGGCAGGCCUAACACAUGCAAGUCGAGCGGAUCGGCGGACGGGUACGUAAUGCCUAGGAAUCUGCCUCAUCGUGGGGGAUAACGUUCGCAACUGGGAGCUAAUACCGCAUACUAUCAGAUUAGCCUAGGUCCGAUUAGCUAGUUGGUGGGGUAAAGGUCUACCAAGGCGACGAUCCGUACCUGGUCUGAGAGGAUGAUCAGUCACACUGGAACUGAGACACGGUCCAGACUCCUACGAGAGGCAGCAGUGGGGAAUAUUGGACAAUGGGCGAAAGCCUGAUCCAGCCAUGCCGCGUGUGUGAAGAAGGUCUUCGGAUUGUAAAGCACUUUAAGUUGGGAGGCGUUACCAACAGAAUAAGCACCGGCUAACUUCGUGCCAGCAGCCGCGGUAAUUC